UUCACCUCCAUUGACAACCAUUAACGAGACCUUCGGAGCUUCACAAAAUCACACCAAAAUCACAAAUCACCCUCUAAAUCUUACACUAAACACUUCCACCUCCUUGAAUUCAAGAAGAGCUUUGGAGUUUGAUCUUCAAAGUUAGAGAGAGAAAGUUUGGUUUUGGGUGUAAGUUUGGACACGAGCAGAGCAAGGAAGUAAGUAACUCCGCUUUGACGGGAGAUUUUGAGUAAGGUCUUCAGGCUAAGCGGGGAGCGAGAUUGGUCUGGUGCUGGUGGGGAACCGUUUCAAUCGAUGUGAUCAUAUUUAAUAUUGCCGUUAUGAUUGAUAGAGUCUUGAUGAUUAAAAAUACUUCGUUUCCUUUCGAAUCAAGUAAUAUACUCACGGUUAUGUGUCUUCAUACAUAUAAUCGGUUCGCCUUUUGCUGCGAUACUCUGCAUAUUAUGUUUCCUUAUGAAAAAUAAGCUAUACCUGUUUUGUUUUUGUUCGUGAAAUUCCUGAUAAUUAAAAAGUUAUAACGACGUUGACGAUUUUA